CAAUAGCGUAUAUUAAAGUUGUUGCGGUUAAAAAGCUCGUAGUUGGAUUUCUGCCGAGGACGACCGGUCCGCCCUCUGGGUGAGUAUCUGGCUUGGCCUGGGCAUCUUCUUGGAGAACGUAGCUGCACUUGACUGUGUGGUGCGGUAUCCAGGACUUUUACUUUGAGGAAAUUAGAGUGUUUCAAGCAGGCAUGCGCCUUGAAUACAUUAGCAUGGAAUAAUAAGAUAGGACCUCGGUUCUAUUUUGUUGGUUUCUAGAGCUGAGGUAAUGAUUAAUAGGGACAGUUGGGGGUAGUCGUAUUCUAAUUGUCAGAGGUGAAAUUCUUGGAUUUAUUAGGAAGGACGAACUACUGACGAAGACUAUUACUACGAAGAUUGUUUCUAUUAAUCAAGAACGAAAGUUAGGGGAUCGAAGACG
rnacentral:rRNA from 1 species